rnacentral:lncRNA from 1 species
GCGUGCAAAAUGCAAGUCACAGAAUAAACAUAAAAAUAACUGUACUUCAUUUGCCCUUUAUAAGGAAAAUGGCCCUAGGCUAUAAUGAUUUCAGUGAUUAAUGAUAACAUAGUUAUUGGGACUAAUGUGUUUGCAAGAUGUACCUUUGUACCUUUGUAGGUGUUUUAUAGGUUCCAAGAAUGAAAUACAAAAUCAUCAAAUGAUAAGAAAAAGAAAGACUUAGAAGAAUUCUAAGGCUCUCAAAUGAUGGUAAUGAAGCUGGGACAAAGACAUGUGGAGUCUUGAAGCGAAUCCUGCUAAAGAUUGUGCACCGACAUAAUCCACCGAUUCAUUCGGUGGUGAUCAAGUAUGGUCACCGAAUCAGUCGGUGACAAAAUGGACUGCAGCAGGGCCAAGGACGUGUACUAUGUGCACCGACACAUUCGGUGAGCACAGUAAGAUCGCACCGAAUCAAUCAGUGCUGUCGGCUCGGCUCGUGAUUGGCUCAGAUUCGGCUCUGAAACUUCUUGAGGUUAUUUUAGCUCACACCGAUUCAUACGGUGGGUACUGGAGCGGAGCGGCGAAUCAGUCGAUGAAGUGGGAAGCAGCGGCUUCACCAAUUCAUACGGUGAUGGCUAAGGAAUGACACCGAAUCAAUCGGUGACAAAGGGCUCAAGCGUCAGCGGUUCAACGGCUACCUUGAGGGACACCACCGACUCAUUCGGUGGUGCACAGCAGGGGGCACCGAAUCAAUCGAUGACCACGGUUUCUGUGACCGUUGGAGCAACGACUAGUUUUUGAGGUUGGCUCUAUUUAUACCCCAAGGCCCGGCCAUUUGAAGGGUGUUAGAGCUUGGAGAAACUGUUGCUUGUAUUCCACAUACACACAAGUGCUCUAGCCACCAAAGUGCUAAAGAGAAGAUUAAGGCAAUUAGCAUAAGGCUUAAGUCUUGAUUAGUGCUAAUUUAGACCUAUUAGUGCAUUGCUUUAGGGUUUAGCCUAGAGUUAGGCGAGGUUUGCACACCUCGUUUGUAUCGGUGCUUGCGCGCACCAAGAGUUGUAAAUCCGGGGCUUGUAAGUCUUGCGAGACCCUCCAACCGCGUUUGUGGAGUGGCCGUCGAUGCUUGUGAUAGGGAGGAGAGGCCCUAGGUGUUUUGCCGAAGCUCUACCAAGUGAAGAGCGGCAAUGAGCAUCCGGGAGAGGCUAGGUGGAGACCCACUUGCGCAUGGGGAAGGUCCGUCGGCUAUCCUACGGAGUUACUUGACCGGGGAGUUUAUACCCUUGCGUGGGCAUUCCCUUUGAUAGGGCUCCAACAACGAGGACUAGUGGAAAGCUUUGCUUUUCAAUACCUAGGAAAAAAUCGUUGUGUCGUCACGUCGGGAGUUUGCCUUCUCUACCUCAUUUACCUUCCGCAUUUCUUAUUGCACUUACAUUCCGCAUUUACCUUUCCUAGAAUUGCCAUGUGUAGUUUAUAGAAUUGGAACCUAGGGUGCAAAACUAUUUGCGGUAGAGAUAGCAACACAUAGAAAAAUCUAGUACACAUCUAGAUAGAAAUUGAUAUAGGUUUUUAUAUGUGCUUGGAGGCUUAGUUUUUAGAAUACCCAAUUCACGCCUCUCUUAGGGUGUCACGGUCCCUUCACCCUUCUUUGAUACUAUAUAUAACAUCACCCUCCUUCACCCUUCUUUGAUACUAUAUAUAACAUCACCCUCUAUGCAGAAACGCACUGCAACUUGCGCCUCACGCAUUCAUUGCCUUUGGAACACUACCUGAGCUUGGAUUGCUGCUUCACAGGUGACUUAGUCAAAUUCCGUUGCUUAUCCUACUAAUUCUAAAUAAAUCAGUGCUGCUUCAUGCUGCAAACAAGUCAACCGUUGCUAUUCCUAGUCCAUACCUGGGAUUUCCUAGGACUGAAUUACCAACAGCCUAGUGAACUUCUGUAGUGGAGCAAUUAUGUAGAAGACACGAUUAUUGCGAUAAUUGACAUAGGUGAAGUUCAGAUAUUCAUAAAUAUGGUGAAGUCCAGCCUGUCAACAUUUUUAAAGUACUAUAUUCAACAUUGGUAAAUGUAUAUUUCAACAUUUAAGUUUACCUAAUUCAACAUUUUUUUAGACUACAAUAAUGAAUAUAAAGAUGUCAUAUUCUCAUAUGAUCCAUAUUUCAACAAUCCUAAGUACUAUAUUCAACAUUUUGC